UACGUAGGGACCGAGCGUUGUCCGGAAUCAUUGGGCGUAAAGAGCGUGUAGGCGGCCACUUAAGUCCUGCGUGAAAUCUUGCGGCUCAACCGCAAGCGGUCGUGGGAAACUGGGUGGCUAGAGUGCGGGAGAGGAGAGUGGAAUUCCUGGUGUAGCGGUGGAAUGCGCAGAUAUCAAGAAGAACACCCGUGGCGAAGGCGGCUCUCUGGAACGCAACUGACGCUGAGACGCGAAAGCGUGGGGAGCAAACAGG
rnacentral:rRNA from 1 species